UUACGGCCAUAUCAUGAUGGAACAGCGGUUCCCGUACGAUCACCGAAGUGAUGUAACGUCGAGCCAGUUCAGUAUCUAGAUGGGCGACUGCUUGCGAAUACUAGCUGCUGUAAG